rnacentral:lncRNA from 1 species
CAAAAAGCCCAUGUACAUGCUUUUUAUUGCCUUUUUUGUUGUUGUUGUUACUAUCCACCUAUACUCCUCUCAACCAUUUCCUGUCUCCAUCUCUUUCAGAAUGCCAAGUCUUUGUCCUCCUCAGACAGCCUAGCGAAGGUGCAGGAGGUAGCAAGCUGGCUUUUGGAAAUGAACCAGGAUCUGCUGUCGGGGGGCAGCGGCAGCAGGGCGGCCCAGCAGCAGAGGCAGAGGCCUGGGGCAGCGGGGGCAGGUAACAGCACCUCCGGCCGCACACCUCAGCCCCAGGCGGAGCACAUGAAUCGGGUGUUGGAGGAGCAGGAGCAGGUGGCACAGCAACAGAGAAGAGAACCGGGCGAGGAGGAAGAGGGUGGACAAGAGCGGCCAAGGGAGGCAGAGGAGGAACCAUGGCCUUCCGGAGGUGAGCCAGUGGAGGAAGGACGGAGGAGCGAGGUGAACGGAGCCGAGAAGGGCGCCCAGUGGAUGUGGGAGCAGGAGCAGCAUCGGCGGCAUAGACGGCAUCGCGAGGAAGAGGCGGAGAAUGAGGAGGAGGAGAAUAAUAAUGCCGGAAGGGAAGGGCAGGUCGGGGUGGGACUUCGUUCAGAGGAAGACGACGACCGACCGGAGGAUGAGGAGGAAAUGGACCAGGAUAGCGAUGAGUUUGAGCAUUCAGGAGAGAGUGGGAGGGAAGAGGAGGAGGAGGAAGAGGCUGAAGAUGAGGAGGAAGGAGAGGAAGGCCUCCACUCUCCCUUCCUCAGGACCAGUGUGUCGGACCUUAAUGAUAACACAGACCAGUCCUCUGGACGACAACACCAAAGCUCACCAUCUGUCUGCAAGAAUAAGGUAAGCAGUCUUUUCAAACAAAAACCAUACUUUAAUUCACUACAUGUAUUUCCCCAGCAUUAUGCAAGUCAACAAAACAUUUAUCAUAGAAGCCUUGUUUAAUUUUGUGCACUAUCAGUUGGUGAACAGUAGGUGGCAGUGUGGUUUAACAGCUGAUGUUUUCACUGAGAUUGGCAGCUCCCUAUUUUAAUAGCUUUAAAUGCUCCUAUAAAGCUUAUUCUAGUCAUUGCUAUUCUUUCAUGCUGUUUAUUCUAAACUGCUAUUUGAAAGCCAUCACAAUUGUUCCUCACCUGCCAAUCACUCCAGUUAGUGUAGCUGAAUGACAGCACUGGCCAUGGUUGACUUUCAGGUCAGAAGCUUUCUAGUUCUGUCAAGUAAAAGACAUUUUUAAUUUUAAUAUUUUGUCAGGUCCACUUAUGAUGUGACCUAAAUUGAGGGGUUUGAUGUUGCCCUUAAAAAUUAACUUCUAACUUAAAGUUGGAACACUCUAUACAACUUUUACCAACAUUUUUGCCAAUUUGCUGUCUAGAAUGGUAAACAAUAGUUGCCAAAAAUAAGAGCCAGUCUGCAGAUUCUGGCCAGUCAGAGAAAAUCUUGUAGUAUAUGAUGGACACAGACUCGAGCACAUGAUUUUUGAACAUUUAAAACAUAUUUGUCAUGUAUCUCCUAGCAAAAAAAAAAAAAAAAAAGGCAUGUUUCUGCAUGACUCUAAGGCAGGGGUGGGCAAACUUUGACUCAAGGGCCAUAUCAGGUUUUUUUGCAAAUAACUGAGGGGCCACAUGGUAUAUGCGUUACAAAUGAAGCUUUCAUUUAAAAAAAAAAAAACAAUUUAAUCUAAAUUGGCAGCCAGUUACUACUGUACUGUAUGUAUACAUGUAUACUUCUACAUGGAAGUAUACAUGGCUCAUACCAUCUCUACUUUUUUUUAGCAUAAAAUGAGCAUUAUUAAAGUCGAUUGAUGUAUAGGUCACAUUGUAUCAUUUCAUUCAGAAGUAAUGUAAAAUAAACAAAACAUUUAUAAACAUUAUAAACAUCUAUUUUUGGUCCCCUCACUCCACAACAAAUCCUUUAAAUUUA